rnacentral:rRNA from 1 species
GAUGAACGCUGGCGGCGUGCUUAACACAUGCAAGUCGAGCGAGAAGUUUUGAAAAGAUUCUUCGGAUGAAAUUUAAAAUGGAAAGCGGCGGACGGGUGAGUAACGCGUAGGCAACCUGCCCCAUACAAAGGGAUAGCAUUUGGAAACGAAUAUUAAUACCUUAUGAAACUUAACUAGUGCAUGCUAGGUAGGUCAAAGAUUUAUCGGUAUGGGAUGGGCCUGCGUCUGAUUAGCUAGUUGGUGAGGUAACGGCUCACCAAGGCGACGAUCAGUAGCCGACCUGAGAGGGUGAACGGCCACAUUGGAACUGAGACACGGUCCAAACUCCUACGGGAGGCAGCAGUGGGGAAUAUUGCACAAUGGGGGAAACCCUGAUGCAGCAACGCCGCGUGAACGAUGAAGGCCUUUGGGUCGUAAAGUUCUGUUCUAGGUGAUGAAAACUGACAGGAACCUAGGAGAAAGCCCCGGCUAACUCCGU